rnacentral:rRNA from 1 species
CAGCCAGACUCCUACGGGAGGCAGCAGUGGGGGAUAUUGCACAAUGGGGGCAACCCUGAUGCAGCGACGCCGCGUGAGCGAUGGAGUACUUCGGUCUGUAAAGCUCUGUCAGCAGGGAAGAGAAUGACGGUACCUGACCAAGAAGCCCCGGCUAAAUACGUGCCAGCAGCCGCGGUAAUACGUAUGGGGCAAGCGUUAUCCGGAUUUACUGGGUGUAAAGGGAGCGUAGGCGGCAGGGCAAGCCUGAUGUGAAAGCCCGGGGCCCAACCCCGGGACUGCCCUUGGAACUGCAUGGCUGGAGUGCGGGAGGGGCAGGCGGAAUUCCUGGUGUAGCGGUGAAAUGCGUAGAUAUCAGGAGGAACACCGGCGGCGAAGGCGGCCUGCUGGACCGCGACUGACGUUGAGGCUCGAAAGCGUGGGGAGCGAACAGGAUUAGAUACCCGAGUA